rnacentral:tRNA from 1 species
UUGUUAGAAGCCAAAUAGAGGCUUAUCACUGUUAAUGAUACAAUUGAACAUUAAAGUUCCUAGCAAG